ACGCCAUGGUGCUGCACACAAGUCAAGCUCAAUGCCCCAGUCAAUGGGUUAGGUUGCACGCAUGUAUUUGAACCUGCUACAUAUGUAAGUAGUAGUGGUACUUUUUGUCCCUGAGGCAUGAAGAAGUGCUCAGGCGACGAUGACAAGACUCUACUUUCUUCCAACCAUAUUGCUGGUGAUCCAUUUGAUCCUGAUUCUCACGUCUGGCACCCGUCUUGGUUGCACUUAUGACCCUCGUGGCAACAUAAUAUAUUGUCCAGACACGGAUCCAGGAAAGAGGUGUGAGCGUCCGCCAUGUUGAAGAUGCGCCAUGAAAAUGGAGUUGACACAAUUUAUUGUGAACCGUGUUACUCCAGAUUGAAAGAUGGUGUGAUAUCAUCCUAUAUGUACUCAUGAUCUGCUCUUUACCGGCAAAAUAAGCAAAAUUGUUGCAUAUGUACAACUAAGUUCUAAUGACAGGGUACCAUAUCCAGAUUGAUAGGAUGAAUUUACAGCAUCCUGGAUCACGUUCUGGGCAGGAGUACUUCUGAUCAAGACUCUGAUCGGCAUUUGGAUGCAGGCUUUUAAUUGACCUGUGUAUGACGCUUACUUUUAUGCACAUUGUUACAAAAUAUUGUAAUCUGAAACUCAUGCACUCCCUCUGAUCCUAAAUUCUCGUCGUUGUUUUAGUGCAAAUUUGAACUAAAACCACGACAAGAAUUUAGGAUAUGAGGGAGUACAAAAUUGCAUGAUUUUAUACUUGCACUGGGCAUAAUUGUUUGUGUGAUGUCAGAGAGCUAUGUAUGUAUAUUGCUGGUGAUUAGAAGGAACCAAUUAGGGUGCUAUGUCUGGACAUAA